AUGCCUCGUCUAGCCACACUGCUUCUUGUUUUCACUGCGAUUCAUUUCCUCAGCCUUUUUCCGUCCAUGCAGUCCAACACUGAUAGGGAUGCACUUCUCUGCCUCAAAUCACAACUAUCUGAUCCCUUAGGAACUUUAGCUUCAUGGAGUAAUUCCUCGCUCACGUUCUGCGCUUGGCAUGGAGUGACAUGCAGCAGACGACACGCAUCUCGUGUGAGUUCAUUAGACCUAGAAUCAUCAAACCUCACUGGCCAAAUAUUCCCUUGCAUUAGAGAGCUCAGUUUCCUCACCCGAAUCCACAUGCCCAAAAACCAACUCAAUGGUCAUAUCUCCCCCGACAUCAGUCGAUUGAACCUUCUUACAUACCUCAACCUUAGCAUGAAUUCCUUCAGCGGUAUGAUUCCAGACACCAUAACUUCAGGUUCUCGGAUCGAGGUUAUCAGCAUGGAGAGAAACUCUCUUGAAGGUGAGAUCGCUGAAAAUCUUGCUCAAUGCUCAUUUCUUCAGCAAGUCGUUCUUAGCAACAACAAUCUUCAAGGGACCAUCCCUUCCAGGUUCGGUUUGCUUCCCAACCUUUCUGUGCUAUGGCUCAGUAGCAACAAGCUCACUGGAAACAUCCCUCGGUUACUGGGGAGCAACGGUUUUCUUGCAUCGGUAAAUCUAAAAAACAAUAGCCUUAGUGGAGGAAUUACCCCUUCCUUAUUCAAUAGCACCUCCAUUUCCUAUGUAGAUCUGUCACGCAAUGAACUUUCUGGGUCAAUCCCGUCUUUCCCUCAAACCUCACCACUUCAGUACCUUGCUCUAACUGAAAAUUUCCUAUCAGGGGGCAUUCCUUCCUCAAUUGGAAACUUGUCUUCCCUGUAUUCUCUUCAACUCUCUCAAAACAACUUCCAUGGAAGCAUACCAGAGAGCAUAAGUCAACUUUCAAGUUUGCAAGUACUAAACUUGAAAGAUAACAAUUUGUCAGGAGUUGUCCCAGCAGCAAUUUACACAAACACCUCCCUUACUUAUCUUAGCCUUAGUCUCAACCAGCUCAUCGGGAAAAUUCCAACUGACAUCGGAUACACUCUUCCAAACAUCACAGACUUGAUACUAGGAGGGAACCAAUUCGAUGGCCUAAUUCCUGCUUCACUAGGAAAUGCAUCAAACCUACAAAAUCUAGACCUUCGUCAAAAUUUACUCACCGGUGUUAUUCCUUCACUGGGACACUUGAGCAAGUUGACAAACAUAGACUUGGGUACAAACAUGCUUCGAUCAGGAGAUUGGUCUUUCUUGUCUUCUCUAACGAAUUGUACUCAACUACAGAUGUUAUGUUUGGACUUUAAUGGACUUGGGGGGGCACUUCCUAGCUCUAUUUCUGACCUUUCAAAAAACUUAGAGGUGCUUCUCCUAUCAGAAAACAACCUGACUGGUAAUAUACCUUCAGAGGUAGGAAAACUCACAGGCCUAACUGUCCUUGUAAUACAGACUAAUUCACUCUCGGGGCAUAUCCCUGAUACACUUGGAUGUCUUCAAAACUUGUCUCUCCUAAUCUUAAGCCAAAACAAACUGUCCGGAGAAAUCUCACAUUCAAUUGGGAGACUAGAGAAGCUCAAUGGACUUUAUCUCAUGGAAAACAAUUUGACCGGCCAAAUACCUGCUAGUUUGGAAGGUUGUAAAAAUUUGUUGUCACUGAACCUCUCUUUUAAUAGCUUGUACGGAAGCAUUCCCAAGGAAAUCGUUUCCAUUUCCACACUUUCUAAAGGCUUCGAUCUUUCCUAUAACCAACUCACGGGGAACAUACCGUCACAAAUAGGUAAUCUGAUGAAUCUGAAUUCGCUUAGUAUUUCCAAUAACCAAAUAUCAGGUGAGAUUCCUUCCGCACUUGGUGAAUGCCUUGUUUUGGAAUAUCUCCAUUUGGAGGCGAAUCUUUUGCAAGGAAAAAUCCCAAGUUCACUCAGCACCUUAAGAGGCAUCAAUGAGAUGGAUCUAUCCCGAAACAACUUGUCUAGUACAAUUCCAGAUUUUCUGGAGUCAUUUAGCUCCUUGUAUAUUCUCAACUUGUCUUUCGACGACCUUGAGGGAGUAGUCCCAAGAGGUGGCAUUUUCGCAAACUCAAGUGCAGUAUUCAUCCAAGGAAACAAAAAAUUGUGUGCAAGUUUUCCAAUGCAACAAGUGCCACUUUGCAUGGCAUUGUCUUCCAAAAGCAAGAAGAAGUCAUAUAUUGUAACUAUAGUGGUUCCAGUUUCCACGGCAAUUCUACUCUCCACAUUAUGUUUUGCAUUGAUUAUGCUAAAGAAGAAGCACACAGAAGCUGAGCAAUCCAUCAUGCAAUCAUUCAAGGGCCAUGAGAGAUUAUCAUAUGAUGAUUUAUUUAAAGCAACAAAUGGUUUCUCUCCUGCCAAUAUUAUUGGUUCGGGAAACUUUGGAUUGGUAUACAAAGGCCAUUUCAGAUUUGAAACAGUUGCCAUUAAGGUAUUUAGGCUUGACCAAUCUGGUGCAUCGAAGAGCUUCUUCGCUGAAUGUGAGGCAUUGAGGAACAUUCGCCAUCGGAAUCUCAUAAGGGUGAUCAAUCUAUGCUUAACCACUGAUCCAAGUGGGAAUGAAUUCAAAGCACUUAUUCUUGAGUAUAAGGAACAUGGUAACCUUGAAAAAUGGCUCCAACAACCACUACUAAGCUUAGGCUCCAAGAUAGCAAUAGCUAUGGAUAUAGCUGCAGCACUAGACUAUCUCCAUAAUCGAUGCAAUCCUCCUUUGGUACAUUGUGAUUUGAAACCAAGCAAUGUUCUUUUGGAUGAUGAAAUGGUUGCAUGUCUUAGUGACUUCGGGCUUGGAAAAUUCCUUCACGACGAAUCCUCACCAGAAAAUAAUAUGUCAUCAAGCAUUGUUGGACCAAGAGGCUCAGUCGGAUACAUUGCACCUGAGUAUGGAACAGGAUGCAAAAUCUCAAUCGAGGGUGAUGUGUACAGCUACGGAAUUAUUCUACUACAGAUGAUCACAGGAAAGCGUCCAACAGAUGAUAUGUUCAAGGAUGGUAUCAACCUUCACAACUUCGUUGAUGCAGAAUUUUCACAUGGAAUUGGAGAUAUUUUAGAACCAACUCUUACCACAUAUGACGAAGGAGAAGGAAGUUUUAUCUCACUGGUCUAA
rnacentral:rRNA from 1 species